rnacentral:rRNA from 1 species
CGGGGUAGAGUAACGCGUGGGCAACCUGCCUUAUACAGGGGGAUAACAGCUGGAAACAGCUGCUAAUACCGCAUAAGCGCACAGCGGCGCAUGACGCAGUGUGAAAAACUGAGGUGGUAUAAGAUGGGCCCGCGUCUGAUUAGCUGGUUGGGAGGGUAACGGCCUACCAAGGCGACGAUCAGUAGCCGGCCUGAGAGGGCGGACGGCCACAUUGGGACUGAGACACGGCCCAGACUCCUACGGAAGGCAGCAG